UGCAGUGUACCCGCGGCAAGACGGAAAGACCCCGUGAACCUUUACUAUAGCUUGACACUGAACAUUGAGCCUUGAUGUGUAGGAUAGGUGGGAGGCUUUGAAGUGUGGACGCCAGUCUGCAUGGAGCCGACCUUGAAAUACCACCCUUUAAUGUUUGAUGUUCUAACGUGGACCCGUAAUCCGGGUUGCGGACAGUGUCUGGUGGGUAGUUUGACUGGGGCGGUCUCCUCCUAAAGAGUAACGGAGGAGCACGAAGGUUGGCUAAUCCUGGUCGGACAUCAGGAGGUUAGUGCAAUGGCAUAAGCCAGCUUGACUGCGAGCGUGACGGCGCGAGCAGGUGCGAAAGCAGGUCAUAGUGAUCCGGUGGUUCUGAAUGGAAGGGCCAUCGCUCAACGGAUAAAAGGUACUCCGGGGAUAACAGGCUGAUACCGCCCAAGAGUUCAUAUCGACGGCGGUGUUUGGCACCUCGAUGUCGGCUCAUCACAUCCUGGGGCUGAAGUAGGUCCCAAGGGUAUGGCUGUUCGCCAUUUAAAGUGGUACGCGAGCUGGGUUUAGAACGUCGUGAGACAGUUCGGUCCCUAUCUGCCGUGGGCGCUGGAGAACUGAGGGGGGCUGCUCCUAGUACGAGAGGACCGGAGUGGACGCAUCACUGGUGUUCGGGUUGUCAUGCCAAUGGCACUGCCCGGUAGCUAAAUGCGGAAGAGAUAAGUGCUGAAAGCAUCUAAGCACGAAACUUGCCCCGA
rnacentral:rRNA from 1 species